rnacentral:rRNA from 1 species
UACGAAGGGGGCUAGCGUUGUUCGGAUUUACUGGGCGUAAAGCGCACGUAGGCGGGUUGUUAAGUCAGGGGUGAAAUCCUGGAGCUCAACUCCAGAACUGCCUUGAUACUGGCAACCUAGAGGCUGGAAGAGGUUAGUGGAAUUCCCAGUGUAGAGGUGAAAUUCGUAGAUAUUGGGAAGAACACCAGUGGCGAAGGCGACAUCCUGGACCGGCAUUGACGCUGAGGCGCGAAAGCCAGGGGAGCAAAGCGGG